AAUAGAUACCCCGGUAGUCCACGCCGUAAACGAUGGAUGCUAGCUGUUAUGAGUAUCGACCCUUGUAGUAGCGAAGCUAACGCGUUAAGCAUCCCGCCUGUGGAGUACGAGCGCAAGCUUAAAACAUAAAGGAAUUGACGGGGACCCGCACAAGCGGUGGAGCGUGUUGUUUAAUUCGAUGAUAAACGAAGAACCUUACCAAGGCUUGACAUCCCUGGAAGGUCUCCGAAAGGAGACUGUGCCUUCGGGAAUCAGGUGACAGGUGAUGCAUGGCCGUCGUCAGCUCGUGUCGUGAGAUGUUUGGUUAAGUCCAUCAACGAGCGCAACCCUUAUAAAUAGUUGAAUUUUUCUAUUUAGACUGCCUCGGUAACGGGGAGGAAGGAGGGGAUGACGUCAGGUCAGUAUUUCCCUUAUGCCUUGGGCUACAAACACGCUACAAUGGCCGGUACAAAGGGCAGCCAACCCGCGAGGGGGAGCAAAUCCCAUCAAAACCGGUCCCAGUUCGGAUAGCAGGCUGAAACUCGCCUGCUUGAAGUCGGAAUCGCUAGUAACGGU
rnacentral:rRNA from 1 species